rnacentral:rRNA from 1 species
GAUGAACGCUGGCGGCGUGCCUAAUACAUGCAAGUCGAGCGAACAGAUGAGGAGCUUGCUCCUCUGACGUUAGCGGCGGACGGGUGAGUAACACGUGGAUAACCUACCUAUAAGACUGGGAUAACUUCGGGAAACCGGAGCUAAUACCGGAUAAUAUAUUGAACCGCAUGGUUCAAUAGUGAAAGACGGUUUUGCUGUCACUUAUAGAUGGAUCCGCGCCGCAUUAGCUAGUUGGUAAGGUAACGGCUUACCAAGGCAACGAUGCGUAGCCGACCUGAGAGGGUGAUCGGCCACACUGGAACUGAGACACGGUCCAGACUCCUACGGGAGGCAGCAGUAGGAAUCUUCCGCAAUGGGCGAAAGCCUGACGGAGCAACGCCGCGUGAGUGAUGAAGGUCUUCGGAUCGUAAAACUCUGUUAUUAGGGAAGAACAAAUGUGUAAGUAACUAUGCACGUCUUGACGGUACCUAAUCAGAAAGCCACGGCUAACUACGUG